ensembl:lncRNA
GGAGGUUAUAGGAGGAUGAAAAAGCACCUACUUGGAAGAGGGCAGGAGUCAGCAAACUAUGGCCUGUAGGCCAAAUCCAGGGUACUACCUGUUUCUGUGUAGCCUGAGAGGAAAAUCUGUGAUGAAAAAAAGAAACAAACCAAGGAGACCACCAUGGACAUAUUUCUGAAAAGAGUGACACCUCCUCAAGAAAAGCCUCAGGCAGGUCCUUCAGGAGGUAUUCCAGAAGAAGGCAUUGUUAUCACAGGAGAUGACAGCUCCAUGCACGUUAUUGCCCCCGAAGACCUUCCAGUGGGACAAGAUCAGAAGAUGGAGGACUGCCAUGUUGACAAUCCUGACUCUAUGUAGGCCUAGGCUAGGGUGUGUGUUUGUGUCCCAGUUUUUAACAAAAAAAUUUAAAAGUAAAAAGAAAAAAUAAAACAUUUUAAAAGUAGAAAAAAGCUUAUAGAAAUAAAGAUAUUUCUUAUUUUUGUAAAGCUAUACAAUGUGUUUGUGUUUGAAGCUAAGUGUGAUUACAAAAGAGUCAAAAAGUUUAAAAAAAUUAAAAAGUUUACAAAGUAAAAAAAUCACAGUAAGCUAAGGUUAAUUUAUUAUUGAAGAAAGAAAAAUAUUUUUCUGUAAUUUAGUGUAGUCUAAACGUACAGUGUUUAUAGAGUCUACAGUGGUGUACAGUAAUGUCCUGGGCCUUCACAUUCACUCACCAACACUCACUGACUCACCCAGAAUAACUUCCAGUCCUGCAAGCUCCAUUCAUGGUAAGUGCCCUAUAUAUUUGUACCAUUUUUAUCCGUAUUUUUAUUGUACAUUUUCUAUGUUUAGAUAAACAAAUACUUACCACUGUGUUACAACUGCCUACAGAAUCUAGGAUAGAUUUGUAGCCUAGGAGCAAUAGGCUCUAUCACAUAGCCUCGGGGAGUAGUAGGCUAUACCACCUGGGUUUAUAUGAGUACACUCUAGGAUGUUUGCACAACGACAAAAUCACCUAAUGAUGCCUUUCUCAGACCAUAUCCGUGUUGUUAAGCAACACGUGACUGUAUUAGAUCAGAAAUGGCUAUAGACCCUCCCUCAAAGAAGUAGACACAAGUUUAAGUGGUAUAGAAUAGUCAACAUGAAAUUUCACCCACAGAAUUAGUGGAAUUGGUGAAUAGAUACUAUAAAUUCUCAAUUAGUCACAGUGUAAGGGUAAAGCAAAUCCACAGAAAAUUUUAAUUUUCAGCCAGUAUUUCAGACCUCUUUUUCCACUAAUUCUCUUGCAAGAACUUGUAGGAAGAUGCAAACAUGCAUGGAUAGGUAGAUGAGAGGAGUAAGUUUUGCUUUAUCUUCUUUCACAUACCAACUUCUUUCAAAAGUUCUUUUGAAAAGCAUAACAGGGGCUGGCCCCAUGGCCAAGCGGUUAAGUUCACACGCUCCAGUUAGGUGCCCUGGGGUUUCGCCGGUUCCCAUCCUGGGUGCAGACAUGGCACUGCUCGUCAGGCCAUCCUGAGGUGGUGUCCCCACAUAGCACAACCAGAGGCUCUCACAACUAGAAUAUACAACUCUGUACCAGGGGGCUUUGGGGAGAAGAAGAAACAACAAAAGAAGAUUGGCAACAGAUGUUUGCUCAGGUACCAAUCUUUAAAAAACCAAAAGAGAGGUGUGAACUGGUGUGAGAGAGGCAAAGACUGCACAAUUCACAAAUAGAAUCAUUAGCUCCUGAACCACCAAGUUUUUUGUCUGUUUGUUUUUUGCAGGGGAAGAUUCACCCUAAGCCAACAUCUGUUGCCAAUCUCCCUCCUUUGUUUUUUUCUUUCUUUUUCCCCCCUAAAGCCCCAGUACGUAGUUCUAGGUAGUUGUAAGUUCUUCUGGUUCUUCUAUGUGAGCCGUUGCCACAGCAUGGCUACUGACAGACGAGUGGCAUGGUUCUGCAUCUGGGAACUGAACCUGGGCCAUCAAAGCAGAGUGUGCCAAACUUUAACUGCUAGGCCAUCAGGGCUGACUGUGAACCACCAAAUUUUGAGGGUCAAUGAAAGAAGUAUGAAAUAAGUAAACUUAUAUCUAGAAUUGAAGAACUAGUAAAUAACCUGUGUGGGCCGGCUUGACUAUGCAGGUAUCACUGCAUUCUCGUUCACUCAAUUAAGAUUUGUAUUUAAAACAUAAAAUAGGUAUUUUGUAUGGUGAGGUAAAGCUGAGGAAAGAGGGAGAGAGAAAGGAGGUACAUGACUGGCAGUUUCUUAAAAUGACAGACUAGAUUAAGAGCUGGGCGGACUCAACUCAGUAUUUCUAACUGAGAAAUGAAUCUGUAAUGACUUGUGAUGACCUUUUCUCUGCCAUCUUCUAGAAGCUUCAUCUCUAAAUAUCUCUUUCUCUUUCUCUUCUUCAGGAUCCUUUUCCUCAAAAUAUCUAGCCACUGCAGGAGCAUAAACCACUGUAAACAUACACAAGCUAUUUCAUUCUACUUUGAGGGACUCUCACGUUGCAAACUAUAUAUAGCAUGGGAGUUGUGGAAGAAGUCUGCCACAAGCCCACAAUUGUGGGUCUAUUCUAUUGAUGUUGGAUAAAUUUCUUAGGCAGUCUACUCCAUGCCAACCCUUGAGCUGAAUUAGCCACUUCAGCACGUUCAGAGUGGUGUUCUGAAGAGGACAGCACACCAGCUCUGCAGCUAGACAGCCACACAUUUAAAUUCCAGUUUCAGUCAGUGGACAGGGAGCCAAGGGGUCCACGUUCCAGGCAGGUUGAGGAUGUUCAGCGCUUCUUGCAUCCUUGGAGGCCAUGUAUGCACAGAGCAUAACCACAAGCUGGAGGAGGGCCGCCC